AUAGUCCUCUCCCCUGCCCCGACUCUCUCCUCUAGACUUCCUGCAGCAACCAUCAAGGCAUCAACCUCUGCUUGUUGAUGGUAAUCAUCUGAGUCUCCCUUGUUUCUCGCUUGACCUCUCUUGCUCUUUUUUCCUUUCCAAUCAUCACUAUGGUUUCCAAUGUCAAACUCCAAUGCUUGCUAGUGAUCAAAGACCCUAUCCCCAUCCUCUCUCAUCGAUUCCCGAUCAUUGGAUUUCGCAAUCAAGCAGACGACAAAUUAGGUCCCCCUGUUUUCCUUUCCUAUGGCCUAACUCAUUGUCGCUCAUUCCUGUCUAGGGGCCCUCGCCACUUUGCUGGACCUUGGCUACCUCA
rnacentral:lncRNA from 1 species